CCUUCGCCCGCUCGACGCCGCCGCUCAUCGCCGUCGCCGGAGUCGUCGCCGUCCACGCCCGCUCGCUCGCGCGACCGGCCAGCUCACCGUUCCGCCUCCGCCCGAGUCUCCAGCCGCGUCAUCCCUGCUUCUUUGUUCAUUUUGGUCGCUGUUAGGAGCCGUUGGAGCUCCCUCCGACCGCCGUGCACCGCCGCCUCAACCCGCCUGAGCUGCUGCCGCCCAUCCCCGCCGGCUUUGCGCCCGAACCGCCGCCGUGCAGCCCUCUGUCGGCCUCAACCAGCAGCCAAGAAAAGUGGGUAUGGCAGCGGGUAUUUGGCCCGUUUUGGCCGUCUUCCCGAGCCCGGAUGCUCGGCCUGCUUUAAGGAAAGUCGAUCCUUGCGUCGAUCCCGUCGUUUUGGUCCACUCGGUUCGUUAAUCGGGUCCCUAGAUGGCGGUCGUGGAGGACCCGAAGCCCUAAGUCUGGAAAGGUGGAGACUGAAGUAUCGGUGAACGUGUCCUGCUAGUUGGUGUUAGGAUAGUUCCCCUUUUUGUCGAGCCGGUCUACUUUGUAGACAGUCCAGAGUUGUAUUUAAACCUAUGUGUUUGUAAAUGAGUGUUUGGUAUUGUGAUUGAUUGCCUGCUUUUCUAUCCCAA